rnacentral:rRNA from 1 species
AUGCAUCCACAGGCACAAUCGCCACUGCGGAUUUCGUCUGCCCUGGCGAUCUCAGCGACGGCCAUGACGAGAUGCAUCUCCGAACUCCCCAUCAGCUUCGUGAAAAAAUUCUCAUCGCGUGAUAAGCUGCAACAGAUCGUCACGGCGGCUUCUACCGUUAAGGAUGUUGAACAUGCAUCAGCGGUGAUCCAUAAUUCAAGUGUUGACCAUCGGUGUGCCUCUGCAUCUAGCCAUGGUGUGGCCCAUAUCACUUGCCCUGCUACGUCUGUUGAAAAUACUAGUGCUGCAGAAUAUGAACCGAACUUCAGUAUGGUGGAUGGAGCUUCAGCUACAGAAUCAGGUAAAAGCUUGCAAACUAAAAUGAAUGAGCGAGAAUUUGCUACGCCAAGAAAGAAAGAAAUCAUUCCCCUGUUCAUGAGUUGCUCGUCUUUUACGCCGAGUUGCGACGAAAAAUUGAAGCCUAAAGUAGGGAUGACAUUUGAAGAACUUGAGGCUGUGGAGGAGUUCUACAAGUCGUAUGCACAUCAUGUGGGUUUUGGAGUUCGUGUCGGACAGCAGAAAAAGUUGAACAAAGAAGUGGUUCGGACAAAGCGUUUCAUGUGCAUCAGGGAAGGAUUUAGGACCAAGAAGAACAAGGAGAUUAAAGACCCAUCAAACCAAUCAAAGAAAAGCUGUAAGAAUACAACCACACGAUGCGGUUGUGAUGCACAUAUCUUCGUCAAGUUGUGUGGCGACAACACCCACAAGAUACAAUCAUGGGUUGAGCACUAUAGCCAUGGCCUUGUAUCACCUGAUAAACGUCACUUGAUCAGAUCAAAUCGUAAAUUUAAUGAGAGGGCAAAAAAAUAUGUUGUACACAUGUCACAAAGCAACCAUAGGUACAUUGCCAGGCGUACAGGCUCCUUCAAGUCAGCGAAGGUGGGUUUCUGUAUGUUGGAUGCAGCAAGAGGGACCUGCAAAACUACUACCGUGACCUCAGGCUUAAAAUUAGGAACGCUGAUGCUCAAAUGUUUAUCGCUCAGCUAG